UUAAGUGUGGGACCAUGCCUGAGAAUUAUCAAAUCAUUAAAGUGUCAAGUAAUCAAAUCAAAUUGUAUUUGUUACGCGCUUCGUAAAUAACAGAUGUAGACUAACAGUGAAAUGUUUACUUACGGGCCCUUCCCAACAAUGCAGAGAGAAAAAUAACUAGCAUGUUUGCAUAAUACUCAUAAUACUCAAUCCCUCAUUGUCCAAUCAGAAGAUGCUCCAUAGCAGGGUGCUCAUAUCAGAUUUCUUGAUCCAACAUCCUCUCACUCUGUAUCUCUUACAGUCAGUAGACAUGGAGGAUGGGAAGCCUGAUCUGCUGCUAGUCAAAGAGGAGACAAUAGAGGAUGGACCAGAGAGCAUUGACCUGCUGAGUGGACUAAAGAUGGGGGAGCAAGUCUAUUUUGUAACGGUGGUUGGCUGGAGGCUAACAGAGGAGACUGGGCUGUCACCUUGGAUUCCCAGACCCAAGAGCCCGGGGACGACCGAGCAGGCCAGGACCUGAGGCGGCAUAGUGAAGGUCAGUGGAUGGGGCAUCAUCCACAACUAUGGGCCUGGGAUCAACACUGUUAACCACAACCAGAAACACAAAACAACAACUGAAUUUAGUCUCCAUGACAACAGACUGGCUGAGACCAGGACGAGGUGUAGAUUUGGUCUGCGGGUACGGGGAGGUGUCUGUAUACGGCUGGAGAAAACAGACAUAGACUCGGUUAGCGAUGCUCCAUCCUGCUCCUAUAGUUGUGAUUCAGAGAGACUGAUGGCACCUCAGGUUAACCACCUAACAGGUGCUGCCUUCAGCCUGCCUUCUAUAGGAUCUAUCAACUGGAACAUGGACCCUGGGACAACACAGACACUCCCUGGCCUUUAUCCUCCUCACACUCUCCUUAUGUUAAACCAGACCUCAGACAAUGCCAGUGCCUCAACACUAAAUGGCUACACAAGCCCAUUGACAAAUUACAGUAGUAGUAACGCUAUCAGCAGAUCUGGUGGCAAAGAGAAGAGCUUAUUGUGUUCAUUCUGUGGGAAGUCUUCAGUUUCCCCAAACAGGUGGAGAUCCACCAGGGGAUGCACACUGGUACAGCCUGUAGAGUCCACACACGGGACAAAUCCUGACGUUGCCCCAGUGUGAGAAUAGUUUCUCCCACCAUUACCAGCUGAAGAUGCACCUGAAGGUCCACACGGGAGAGAGGCUGUUCGCCUGUAUGCACAGCGGGAAGAGGUUCUCCGAGAGGAGCUACCUUAGGAUACACCAGCAGAAAAUGCACAUGGCCCAUGUAUAGAGUAUAGUAACAUGUCAUGUAGUACUAGCUAGUUUGUAGUUAAUUCUGUUGGUUUUGGAUGUAGGAGGGAACUGGAUGAGGUGAACUGAGGAGGGAAUGAGUAUGAUGAGACAGAGUAGAUGAUAUGGUGAUGGUUGGUGUGAUGGUGUCUGUAAAAAUGCUUCACUGAUGAAGAGUGACAACUAUGUCCCUAUAGGUUGAUACUGAUGUUUUAUAGUGAGGAAAUGAUAGUGCCUUAAUUCAUGUUUACUUGACAUGAAGAUGUGUGUAAUGUUGAACCUUUUCCAAAGUAUUCUCAAAUUAAUUUGAUCAAAGUGAGGGUACCAGAUUUACAGAAAAGGUAGCGUUGCCAUAGUGAGUAGUUAUUCUACUUAUAUAGUUUUUUUGCAAUAAAAGUACUGUACUUCAAAGUUAUGUGAGUGUAUGACUAUUUUGUUGAAAUUAAAUCCAACAUUUUCUCUGCUGAUUGACUUGGAUAUUUUUGUGUCAUUGCAGGGACUAAGUUUCCCUUAUCUCAGUCGAAACAUUAUACUUAAUUCUUGAAUCAACACAUAUGGACAUUUUUUAUAAUGAACUCUAAUGGCUCUAUAUUGUACUUGAAUCACAGUAUUAGAUGGGCUUGACUGUGGUUUACAUUUCAUAAUGUAAAGUUUCUUAUCUAAACCUUUAUGCUCUUCUGUACAAUGUGUUUGCAGUCUGCAUUCCAUGAAGACCUGCUGGUAUCCAGUGUUACUGGUGGGAGAGACAGGACCUCUGAGUUGGCUGGUCACAAAUCCUGGCCCUGGAUCAGGACCCUGGAUGAGAAGCCUUCGCUCUUCCUUCCCGAGUCAGGACCCAACCACGAGGGACAGAGACCCCACCACCACACUGAACACAACCAGUGGACAGGUGGACUGAACAUACUCAGUCCUGGUGGUCAUCAGAGAGACAGAGGAUCCAGUCAGGGAUCCAGUCUGCAGCCCAGACCCUCCUCUUCACAGUCUCAGUGCAGGGAUGAAGCAGGGCCUGGGGCUGAUAAAGAUAGACCCUCCUGUUCCUAUGAUACAAACACCACAGUAUCCAUGAUGAACAGAGCAGGUCACCCUGGGCUUCAGCUUUCAGAGGGAGUGGUGAGAGACCUUCCUGGUGGUAGUCUAUCAGCAAGUAUGUCUUCUCUUUAAGGGUCUCGUCUAAAGCGUAGUGACUGGGUUCAUAGAAGAGCCUGGACCUGGGUCUAGCCUAACUCAGUUACUUAAUGAUUACCUCAUGAUUACCUCAAACAGCACAUUAGUUGUGCAGGGCUUAAUGAUGUUGAUGGUAAAAUCUGUAGCGUGAAAACAGCUGUGUUAGCAGUGGGUUUAUGUGCCCAUUACAUCGGUGCAUGCUAGCUAACACACUUAUAUACAGCAAUCAUAUACCAAAACACAGCCCAGAAAGCCCCUCAAUCCCUAACAGGUACCAUAUACCCACACAUGUUUAAAUCAGCAAUGUACAGCAAACUUGUACACAUUGUAAAAUAGAAAACAGUAUUCAGAACGUGACCUACCCCUUGCAUCACAUUUUCAUACUGGGGAGACCUGACGUUCGCGAUCUCCCCCUAUCUGCAAGCGGGGCCAAUAACAACAUGACUUAUUGUCAUCGGAAUUGAACGAACCAAUAAGAAUGCUUGAACAUUAAAUACGCCUUUCUUUAGAGGCAAGUGGAAACAUAACCAACCCUGUUACAUUCUCCCCUGCUGCAUUACACUUACAUACUCUAAAGAAACAAAAUGAGGUAUGCAAUACCUUGCAAUAUAUAUGUCACCAAAUAUUCCAGUGCAAAGACUAUUCUCUCAAGAGAAUUAGAGGAAUUUAAAGACCCCGUAGGAAAACAUGCCUGUUACAUGUUCAGUACACUCAGUGACAAUAAGAACCUCAGACAGAAAAAUCUUGGGCUACUUGACCUCUGACCCAUUACCUCCAUGGGGCCUCUUGAAAGUAAAAUAAAUAAAUGGGCUAAAGACCUGGAAAUCUACAGGCCAACUUGGAUUCUAAUCCUACACCCACACCCGACCAGUCCCUGACCUGACAGGCCUAACGGAGUUAUCAUUAUGGUUAACCUGUUCAACUACAACCACCAUUGGUGGGUCACUGUCCACAGUCGGUGGAUAGUCAAGGUCAAGGGUUCUGUGACUGUUGCUGGAGCUUGUGCUAACAGUGGCAUCUUCAGAAUGCCUUUCUUCUUCAGAGGGUUCAGACAUUUCUUCUCCAAAGGUUAUCUCUGACACGCUUGUGGCACCCUCAGAAUGUGGUGAGUUCUGAGGGUCCCUCGCCAGUGGCCCAUCUUCCAGCACAUCUGAGGGCUCUGACUGUGUUUACUCGGAGGUCUGUUCUGAUAUCCGCACACUAGUCCUCUCACCAAUGUCAAUUUCUGAUAUAUCAUUCAUGGAUGAGUCCUCCAUCUCCUCACUGUCUCCCAUAUUAGGUGUCUCCAAGGCAGUGUCAGGGAGAGGCAAGAAGUUUACAGGCAUUAUCAGAUUAUGGUGGACAGUUUUCUCCUGGCUAGUUGACAUGUUCUGUAUCUUGAAGAUGUGGAUGUCACUAUUCUUCUCUGUAACAAUCAGCCUUCUCCCAACGAUCAGCCAGCUUCCUCUUUCCACGUUCACCCUUAUUCGCCAGCAGCCCCCGAUCACCGACCUCCACUGGAGCUCCUCUGAUCUUGCUGUUGUAGAGGCCUGCAUGCCUCUUCAGCUGUUUGGUUGCCGACACCUGUACCAUCUCCAUGGCCUCCCUCAGCUCUCUCGUCAGGGUCUUGAUGUACUCGUCAUAGUCUACAACCUCUGAGUCUUGCAGCACGGUACCAAACAUCAUGUUGACAGGCAGACGUGGGGUUCUCCCAAACAUCAACUGGAAAGGGGCGUGGCCUGUGAUUUCAUGGACUGUACAGUUGUAGGCGAAGGUCAACAACUUCAGCUUCUGGGGCCUCCUGUGCUUCGCUCUCGUAGGUAAGGCCCUGAUCAUGUUUCCCAGCAUUCUGUUGAACCUUGCGACUCCCCCGUUCCCCAUCGGAUAGUAGGGAGUCGUGUGCGACUUCUGGAGUCCUGCAGCACUCACCAACUCAGCAAUCAAUUUACUUUCAAAGUUGGCCCCUUGGUUGGAGUGGAUACGACGAGGAAAACCAUACACACAGAAGAUGUUGUUCCACAGCUGAAGGGCCACUGCUUUAGCUGAUUGGUUUGGACACAAGCAUGCAUGGGCCAUCUUAGUAAAAUGGUCAGUGAUGACCAGAACACCCAAGGACUUGUUGUUGGGGUCUUCAGCAGACCAGAAGUCCACACAGACCCACUCGAGGGGCUCAGUCGUGAUGAUGUUCUCCAAUGGAGCUCUGGCCUUUGGCUCGGGGGUCUACUAAACUCACAACCCUCUUGCAGGUCUUGACGUACUCUCUCACAUCAGACUCCAGACCAUGCCAGAAGAACCUCUGUCUCGUCAAGUACAACGUCCGCUGUUGCCACUGUUGGGUUCAUCUUGGGGUCAUGAUAGGGGCUGUACCAAAUGUUUGAGAGACUAGUCAGACAUUCCACUAUAAAUCAACUUGGGGAGUGGACAUUUACUGCUGGGCCUUUAGAUAACACUGAAACUAUUGUUUGUAUAGUUGUGUCUUGCAUGGGCUUGGUCUCAUGAGUAGAAGGUAAUGAUGUAGGCAGUGACAUCACUAAGGCUGGACUUCAGGCUUAAUAAAAUAACUUUGACCCUUUACUCUUUAGCAGAACUUACUUGGAAACAUGCAUGCUAUGUUCCUGUUGUCAACUUCUGUCUGCAAUUGCAUUAAUAAAUGAAUGAUUGAUUUACUUAAA